rnacentral:tRNA from 1 species
AAAAAAGCCGGGAUAGCUC